UCAGGCAGUCUCUUGAAAAAUCAAACCGUG
rnacentral:piRNA from 1 species